rnacentral:rRNA from 1 species
GGACCCGCACAAGUAGUGGAGCAUGUGGUUUAAUUCGAAGAUACGCGCAGAACCUUACCAACACUUGACAUGUUCGUCGCGACUCUAAGAGAUUAGAGUUUUCGGUUCGGCCGGACGAAACACAGGUGCUGCAUGGCUGUCGUCAGCUCGUGUCGUGAGAUGUUGGGUUAAGUCCCGCAACGAGCGCAACCCUCACUUUUAGUUGCCAUCAUUUAGUUGGGCACUCUGAAAGAACUGCCAGUGAUAAGCUGGAGGAAGGUGGGGAUGACGUCAAGUCCUCAUGGCCCUUACGUGUUGGGCUACACACGUGCUACAAUGGCAUUUACAAUAGGAAGCAAGAUGGCGACGUCAAGCAAAUCCUAAAAAGAUGCCUCAGUUCGGAUUGUACUCUGCAACUCGAGUACAUGAAGCUGGAAUUACUAGUAAUCGCGGAUC